CGAAAUCUGAUGUGGCCCUCAGACCCAAAGGUUUGCCCACCCCUGUCCUAGUUGCUUCCCCACUCCAUGCAUCCCGGCUCAUUGCAGAGGGGCUAGUGCCCACACAAGACCAGCUGUAUGGACGGAAGCUGGUAGGUGUUUUAUAUGCAUGCGCACAAUCAAAGCAAAUCACAGGCAAGGUGAUGUUACAACAGUUGUCAGGGAUGGGGGAGGUGAGGCUAGAGGCCUUUUCUCCACUGUGCAGUUUAAAUGGGAAACUGUUUUGAACAAGGCUUGUUACCUCAGUGGUAAUGCAACUGUGACACACCAUUAAAUGCAUAGAGUCCUAUGACAGGGUGAAGCCCUGCUCCCUUUAAUAUGGAGGAACAGCCUGGAUUGAUUUUUUUUUUUUCCAAAUAGAGGAGAUGUCACUUCUUUUGGCGGAAGAGGCAAUGUUUUCCCUGAUGAGGCCUGUCUGUUUUGUUAAGCACUGGUAAUGGCUACGCAGAAAGCCAGACAUUUGCUGAAAUGCAAGCGAUGUGCUAAUGAACCCUAUGGCCUUGUUUGUAUUAUGAAAAAAUAAUUAAUUGUAAAUUUUUAUUGCCGCUGACGGGGAGUGAGUGAAGAAAAACUGCUGGUUAUGGUGACACCUUCACCAGCAACGGGGCAGAUUAUCUGAUGUAAUUCCCUUGAAAUCCAUAGUUGCAUCAGAGAGGAAUAAUAAACAAUGGGUAGAAUGCCUUACGUCUGAAGAGCUCCAAGAACUAUUCAGGCAAUGAAUGAAAUGCCACAGCACUUCGCUGAUAAUUGCAUUCGGGUCUGCCGUGCUAAGGGAGGUGAAAAGCAGUAAGAAGCUGCUAUUGUUAAAUAAACACAGAGCUGCAUCUCUUUUGCAUGAGAAGCAAUUGGCCUGAGGUUGGAGCAGUCAUUCUGUAUGUCCUUUAAAUGGGGGAGAAUUGAUUUUUCCCCUCACGCUCAUUAAGUCAGUGAAAGUUGACUCUACUGGAAAAGAUUCCCUUUCUUCUAUGUAUUGCCCCCCCCACCCCGCUCACAAGCCCUGUCAUUUUAAUGGUUAACAUUCUCUCUUAUAACUAUUAAUGAGGAGGCUACUGCAUAAAGCUCUGUUGCAGUGUCAUAAAUCUGCAUAAACUCAGGUGAGCCUCUUGUAUAUUUCAUAGGAACUACGAUAAUGAAUAUAGACUGUCAGCGGAACAAAACUGGCUGUGUCUGUCUCUGAAGCAAGGGUCGAAAGGAGCAGCAGCAUCCACCACAGAAAACAGAGUUUGGGUGGGCAGGGAAGGCUCGGAAGAGGAGCUGAGCAAGCAGCCACAAAGAAGCAAGGAAUGGAUUGGGGGCAGGCAAGGGGAGAGGAGGAGGAAACCAAGGCACAGGCCCUCGUUAACUUCAAGAUAUUGGUGCAUAAUCUAGUAGCUCACAGCAUACACAGCUACUGGAUUUGGAUAUUACAUGAGGUGCAAUGCUGAGGUACUAUCUUUUGAGCUCCUCAAAGCCAAGACCUGAAGAAAAGCUUUGUGGCACUUGAAAGGUUUCCUCUUUCACCAACAGAAGCUGAUCCAAGAAGAGAUUUCACCCACCUCAUCUCUCUCAUAUCCUGGGACCAAGAUGGCUACAACAGCACUGCAAAUAUCUGUAUUACUGUUGCCUUUGUCCUUCCUCCCCUAUUGCCUCCUAUUUUUUGUUACAUUUGUUUGCUGCAUCUUGUCUUAAACUAGCCUGCAAGGCAAGGACUGUGUCGUUUGCUGUUUGUACAGCACCUAGCACAAUGGGGCCUGACUCUUGAUGGUCACCUCUGGGUGCUCUGGCAAUACAAAUAACAAAGAUAUGAAUAUUUUUGUCACUACCAUCUGCAGAUAUGGCUAUGAAUACACAAAAGCAGUAUACCUAUUGAGUGUGUACUUUAUGAUGGAUCUCUAAUCAUUAUGGAUUACAAUUUAUGCACCUUUCUAAUGAUUACUUUAUAAGGAAUAAGUUCCCAUCUAGCUCUGGUUUCUGUCAACCUAGAUGAGUAAAUUAGGAUAAAUUACACCAUGAGCAGAAGUGGACAACUGCCUAAUUUUUAUGUGGUGGAGAAAUCCAAAAGCAGCUUCAUGAAAAUGAGUUUCUGACUUCAGACAGAUGAUUUAAAGAGAAAUGAACUCAGUUUUAACAGUGAUUGUAAAUACCUGUGCCAAAUAUACACCUAAACAUACAAAUGCAAUCUGCGUGUUACCUGCUCAAGGGUAAUCAGAGAAGGAGUUAAUGUUGAAACUUAUGAAAACAAAAGAAUCUAGUAAACAAAUCUGUUGCUACCUAGGGCUUCACAGUUGUUGCUCUUCUGAAUACCCAGCCAGAUGAGGCACGUGGUGACCAUAAGGAAUCCCUCUGCUCCAAAACGUCUGGCCCCUUCCACUUAAAUUGAAGGAGAAUCUCUGCCAACAAAGGGCUAAGGGCAUACAACUGUAGUUGUUUCCAUCCUGUAGAGGGCGAUAGCAUACAAACAAACCAACCAAAGAGAACUAAUAAGACGGUUAAAUGCUGGAGUUCAAUGCACAGUUGACUCUGUUUACAAAUCUUGGAAAAUAACAUGGGGGAAGGAGAUGCUCUGAAUGAACACUAUUAAACAAAAUGGGAAAUAAAAUGGCAAAGGAUGGCAAAACUGCUGAAAUAUCAAUUUGCAGGGGAGAAUACACAAAAAAAAAAAAGACUUGUGCAUCCAUUGUCCCAAAUAUCUUUGAGACCAGCGAAGCAGAGCUAUUUAGUGAGUUGGCAUUGCUCAAAAUCAACUAAUCUCCCUGAGCAGACUUAGAUUCAAAGCAGACCAGAGAGCAGCAGCUCUUUGUUAAUCAUAAUAAAGAAUGUGCUGUAUUCAAAUGAAGUUUCAGCAAAAGUGGAUACAUGCCAAUGCAGUACCAAUGUUGCAAAAGGGAAUAAAGGCAAGC